GAUGAACGCUGGCGGCGUGCCUAAUACAUGCAAGUCGAGCGAACGGACGAGAAGCUUGCUUCUCUGAUGUUAGCGGCGGACGGGUGAGUAACACGUGGAUAACCUACCUAUAAGACUGGGAUAACUUCGGGAAACCGUAGCUAAUACCGGAUAAUAUUUUGAACCGCGUGGUUCAAAAGUGAAAGACGGUCUUGCUGUCACUUAUAGAUGGAUCCGCGCUGCAUUAGCUAGUUGGUAAGGUAACGGCUUACCAAGGCAACGAUGCAUAGCCGACCUGAGAGGGUGAUCGGCCACACUGGAACUGAGACACGGUCCAGACUCCUACGUGAGGCAGCAGUAGGGAAUCUUCCGCAAUGGGCGAAAGCCUGACGGAGCAACGCCGCGUGAGUGAUGAAGGUCUUCGGAUCGUAAAACUCUGUUAUUAGGGAAGAACAUAUGUGUAAGUAACUGUGCACAUCUUGACGGUACCUAAUCAGAAAGCCACGGCUAACUACGUG
rnacentral:rRNA from 1 species